rnacentral:rRNA from 1 species
CCUACGGGUGGCAGCAGUGAGGAAUAUUGGUCAAUGGACGAGAGUCUGAACCAGCCAAGUAGCGUGAAGGAUGACUGCCCUAUGGGUUGUAAACUUCUUUUAUAUGGGAAUAAAACGUUCCACGUGUGGGAUUUUGUAUGUACCAUAUGAAUAAGGAUCGGCUAACUCCGUGCCAGCAGCCGCGGUAAUACGGAGGAUCCGAGCGUUAUCCGGAUUUAUUGGGUUUAAAGGGAGCGUAGGUGGAUUGUUAAGUCAGUUGUGAAAGUUUGCGGCUCAACCGUAAAAUUGCAGUUGAAACUGGCAGUCUUGAGUACAGUAGAGGUGGGCGGAAUUCGUGGUGUAGCGGUGAAAUGCUUAGAUAUCACGAAGAACUCCGAUUGCGAAGGCAGUUCACUGGACUGCAACUGACACUGAGGCUCGAAAGUGUGGGUAUCAAACAGGAUUAAAUACCCUUGUAGUC